AGCGAACGCUGGCGGCAGGCCUAACACAUGCAAGUCGAACGAAGCCUUCGGGCUUAGUGGCGGACGGGUGAGUAACACGUGGGAACGUACCUUUUGGUUCGGAACAACUCAGGGAAACUUGAGCUAAUACCGGAUGAGCCCUUAGGGGGAAAGAUUUAUCGCCGAAAGAGCGGCCCGCGUUAGAUUAGCUAGUUGGUGAGGUAAAGGCUCACCAAGGCUACGAUCUAUAGCUGGUCUGAGAGGAUGAUCAGCCACACUGGGACUGAGACACGGCCCAGACUCCUACGGGAGGCAGCAGUGGGGAAUCUUGCGCAAGGGGCGAAAGCCUGACGCAGCCAUGCCGCGUGAAUGAUGAAGGUCUUAGGAUUGUAAAAUUCUUUUACCAGGGACGAUAAUGACGGUACCUGGAGAGAAAGCCCCGGCUAACUUCGUGCCAGCCGCCGCGGUAAUAC
rnacentral:rRNA from 1 species